rnacentral:rRNA from 1 species
GACGGAGGGUGCUAGCGUUGUUCGGAAUCACUGGGCGUAAAGCGCACGUAGGCGGGUCGUUUAAGUCGGGGGUGAAAUCCUGGAGCUCAACUCCAGAACUGCCUUCGAUACUGGCGACCUUGAGUCCGGGAGAGGUGAGUGGAACUCCGGAGUGUAGAGGUGAAAUUCGUAGAUAUUCGGAAGAACACCAGUGGCGAAGGCGGCUCACUGGCCCGGUACUGACGCUGAGGUGCGAAAGCGUGGGGAGCAAACAGGG